GUCCAGCCUUUGCCACUAGUCUCAAUCAAGCCAUUCGUGCCGCCGGCAGUCGGACCACGGAAUCGGACAGCCUCUCUCUUUCUCCUUCCCCGUUAUUCACUCGCCAACUCUUCACGUGUUGACAUGCGCACCGAGGGUGAAUCGGCACGACUCGAUUUUCCACCUCCCAGAGACGCCGCAGGACGCACCGAUGAUCGCAACCCGUGAUCAUUCCCUUUUCUGCCAAAGCCUUCGGCGGGAACUUCAUUUUACAAGAGUUCAACCCUUGGGUCUUGGAGUCUUAUUUUACCGGAAAAGAACUUCAUCCUACCCAGCAGCAUGAUGACGACGUCAUCGUGGGCGUAUUCCCGGAUCUCGCCUAGCCAGGCCCUGAUGUUAUCGAAGCUCGUUUUGUUGGUGACGUCGUAGAGAAGGAGCAAUGCUGAAAGUAGAAUUAUCGUUACCUAAUACACGUACCUACGCGCGAUGUUGGUAAAUAUGAUAGACGAGGAGAGAAGAUCACUAGCGCACCCUGUUGUUCCGGUGUAAAUAAACGGCUGGAGGACCGGCGAAUUACGAUUCAAUAUCAACUUGAACUGGUAAACAGACGAGGAGGUUCGACCAGCCUGAUUCUAUCCAGAAUAGAAAUCGACGACUUCAAGGGAUUCGGGAACGAUCACAAUCGUCGAAGCUGUUCCAUGCAUGGUGCGCGGUUUAACAGUGUGAAACCUGUCCGUGUGAAAAGUGCCGCCGUUGAGUAGAAGUUGAUUUUCCUUUUUCCAACGCGUUCCAAAAGUUCACACAGAGACAUUUUCGAACUCGAUCAGUUUUCUUCCGACACUGUGUGACUUACUUGUGAAUAAUUCAUCGCUUCGCGUACAACCGUUUGUACAUGUUGGAAAGUUUUCUCGCGUUUACGGUGUUAGGAGUGUAGUGAGUGCGAAGUGCUUCGGAGUGGUGAAAAUUCCGGAUCAUCGGAAACGGGGACAAUUUGGAUCGCGGGAUUUCCAGGGCUGAACAUUAAAAUACUGAGACAUGAGCUGGACUACUGGGUGAAGACAAGGGACACGUGCGCUGUUGAAGCAUCUUCGACGGCGUGUAAGCGGUAAUGUCUGGAGAUUUGUCCCAUCCUGUCCCCCAUGAGCCUGGUAGGACGUCUGUCACUUUAAUCCAAGCUUGUCAGCCACUGGAAAGUCCACCGGUUGGCCUUGUGCAUCUCGCCGACCAAAGUCUAAAAACUCAACGAUGAAAUUUGUUUCAUUCAAGGUGUGAAAUAACGCUGGAAUGAAUAAGAAACGAGGAUCUUACCCGGCGCUCACCAAAGCCAGCGACCGGGAACCGUCUAACGUUAAGACAGACUGACCUUGCACCUGAGAGAUAAAUGACGGGCACCUUAUGCGGAUCAAUUGAUGGAUCCAGGGAUCGGGAUCCGAGCUACACGCGUCCACACUCAUGCCCAAUCAAUGUGUACGUUCAUAAGGCUCUCGAUGAAUUACGGUCACUGACGUGAACGUGUAGGUGUACCAAGCUGCGUUAGACACGUCCCACGCUUUGUUCAGUCAAGCUUCGCGCUUAAGGAGUUGUCGCGGUUCGGUGGUUCACGAGCGACUAUCUCUUUAGAGACGAAUGAUCGGAAACAAAGAUAAGCAAUGAACGGUAUCUGUACGCAUGCGGGACUGUACUUUUCUUCAUUCAGAACUACUCUAUAAACAUAUAUCGGAUGAAGAUAAGAUAAAAUUUCUAGGUAUGUGCAAGUACGAAAUUUGACUCAUAAUGAUCGGAGGAUAAUAAUGAGGAAAGCUGUUCCGGAAAUAUUUUCAAACGAGAUUGUUCACGAACCCUUCAGCUUUAUCAUUGGAUUCAGUGUUCGUAACCAACGCAAUUUCGCGUGCCUCGUAGCUUUGCUGAAACCCUUAUCGCCAGUUACGUUCUACGUUUAGCCACGAUAUUUGGUUUGGUAACUUCUGAAUCAAUUCUCAUCCUGGGCGUGCCUUCUUCAAGACACUACGACACUUAGUCCAGGGAGCCCAAGGAAGCAGACCUGUACCUACGAAGGCAUAGGCCAUCGAGCAUCCAAGCAGCUAGGGGAUCUCGUUGUCGGUCGAACAACGAAGAAAGGUUCCCCAAGUUCGGACCUCCCCUCGCCCCCCACCUUCUCUCAAUCCCACUCCUUCUCUAUUUCUCCCAGACGCUCUUGCACUUUCCUAUACGGUCUUGGAGUACGUCCGGUUUUGGAAACGUCUAGAACUUUACGUCGAACGGAAGUGUUAGCGUCUCGUAACUUUUAUUACGAUUUAUAGAAGCCUUUUCAAUAUAGCACAAAUUAGCACUAUACACAAUAAGAUAAGGCACGAGUAAAUUUUGCCGUUUAAAUAAUCGACUUUUGGUAUUAUUUUCGAAGGCGAGAC